rnacentral:rRNA from 1 species
GGCGGCCCGAGUGGUGAUCGUGAUUAUUGGGUCUAAAGGGUCCGUAGCCGGUUUGGUCAGUCCUCCGGGAAAUCUGAUAGCUCAACUAUUAGGCUUUCGGGGGAUACUGCCAGACUUGGAACCGGGAGAGGUAAGAGGUACUACAGGGGUAGGAGUGAAAUCUUGUAAUCCCUGUGGGACCACCUGUGGCGAAGGCGUCUUACCAGAACGGGUUCGACGGUGAGGGACGAAAGCUGGGGGCACGAACCG